GGGAGGCAGCAGUGGGGGAUUUUGGACAAUGGGGGAAACCCUGAUCCAGCCAUCCCGCGUGUAUGAUGAAGGCCUUCGGGUUGUAAAGUACUUUUGGCAGAGAAGAAAAGGUAUCCCCUAAUACGGGAUGCUGCUGACGGUAUCUGCAGAAUAAGCACCGGCUAACUACGUGCCAGCAGCCGCGGUAAUACGUAGGGUGCAAGCGUUAAUCGGAAUUACUGGGCGUAAAGCGUGUGUAGGCGGUUCGGAAAGAAAGAUGUGAAAUCCCAGGGCUCAACCUUGGAACUGCAUUUUUAACUGCCGAGCUAGAGUAUGUCAGAGGGGGGUAGAAUUCCACGUGUAGCAGUGAAAUGCGUAGAUAUGUGGAGGAAUACCGAUGGCGAAGGCAGCCCCCUGGGAUAAUACUGACGCUCAGACACGAAAGCGUGGGGAGCAAACAGGAUUAGAUACCCUGGUAGUCCACGCCCUAAACGAUGUCAACUAGCUGUUGGGGCCGUUAGGCCUUAGUAGCGCAGCUAACGCGUGAAGUUGACCGCCUGGGGAGUACGGUCGCAAGAUUAAAACUCAAAGGAAUUGACGG
rnacentral:rRNA from 1 species